CUUUUAUUGUGCGAGUGCUGCCUUGUAGCGCCAUUAGCCUGCUAUUUUUUGGAAGCUAACAAGUUGUCUUUUACGUGCAAGUGGUAUGGCUCUCUUUUAACACGUGAUCAGUCGCGUAUCCUUCCGACAGACUAUCGUUGUUCCAGAAGACAAUACUCGCAAAUGGUGUGAAGGAAGAGCCGAAAAUUUGGUCCCUGAAAUUGUCUCCCAGAAACGGAGAUGGAACCACGAACCUUUGUGUUUGAAAAUAGAGGUUGUGACUCCAUG
rnacentral:lncRNA from 1 species